GGAAUCUUCCACAAUGGACGCAAGUCUGAUGGAGCAACGCCGCGUGAGUGAAGAAGGGUUUCGGCUCGUAAAGCUCUGUUGUUAAAGAAGAACGUGGGUAAGAGUAACUGUUUACCCAGUGACGGUAUUUAACCAGAAAGCCACGGCUAACUACGUGCCAGCAGCCGCGGUAAUACGUAGGUGGCAAGCGUUAUCCGGAUUUAUUGGGCGUAAAGCGAGCGCAGGCGGUCUUUUAAGUCUAAUGUGAAAGCCUUCGGCUCAACCGAAGAAGUGCAUUGGAAACUGGGAGACUUGAGUGCAGAAGAGGACAGUGGAACUCCAUGUGUAGCGGUGAAAUGCGUAGAGAUCUGGAGGAAUACCGGUGGCGAAGGCGGCCCCCUGGACGAAGACUGACGCUCAGGUGCGAAAGCGUGGGGAGCAAACA
rnacentral:rRNA from 1 species